CUUGCUGCCGCCGCAGCAGCUGCUACAGUUGCUCGCUCACACUCCUCUUCCACGGCGCGCUCGGCCUCCUGCCGGCGCCGUAUGCUCGAGGUAGCCGUGUGUUGAGAGCGACCUGCAGACAUGGCUCGCUGCAGGGGGCUGUUGCGUGAAGAGGAAGCUGUUGCUGACGAGCUGCUGCUCGACAGUCCGGAGGGAGGGAGGUAACUAGGG
rnacentral:lncRNA from 1 species